UUAAAAAAAAGCUAAAAAAAGUUUUUGGGUUCAUACCCCAAAAAAAAAGGAACCCCUUUUUUUUAAA
rnacentral:tRNA from 1 species